rnacentral:rRNA from 1 species
CUGCUGCCUCCCGUAGGAGUUUGGGCCGUGUCUCAGUCCCAAUGUGGCCGGUCACCCUCUCAGGUCGGCUACUGAUCGUCGCCUUGGUGGGCCGUUACCCCACCAACCAGCUAAUCAGACGCGGGUCCAUCUCAUACCACCGGAGUUUUUCACACUUUAUCAUGCGAUCUCGUGCGCUUAUGCGGUAUUAGCAGUCAUUUCUAACUGUUAUCCCCCUGUAUGAGGCAGGUUACCCACGCGUUACUCACCCGUCCG